AUACGGAGGAUCCAAGCGUUAUCCGGAAUCAUUGGGUUUAAAGGGUCCGUAGGCGGUUUAAUAAGUCAGUGGUGAAAGCCCAUCGCUCAACGGUGGAACGGCCAUUGAUACUGUUAGACUUGAAUUAUUAGGAAGUAACUAGAAUAUGUAGUGUAGCGGUGAAAUGCUUAGAGAUUACAUGGAAUACCAAUUGCGAAGGCAGGUUACUACUAAUUGAUUGACGCUGAUGGACGAAAGCGUGGGUAGCGAACAGGAUUAGAUACCCUGGUAGUCCACGCCGUAAACGAUGGAUACUAGCUGUUGGAAGCAAUUUCAGUGGCUAAGCGAAAGUGAUAAGUAUCCCACCUGGGGAGUACGUUCGCAAGAAUGAA
rnacentral:rRNA from 1 species